rnacentral:rRNA from 1 species
UACGAAGGGGGCUAGCGUUGUUCGGAAUUACUGGGCGUAAAGCGCACGUAGGCGGGUUGUUAAGUCAGGGGUGAAAUCCUGGAGCUCAACUCCAGAACUGCCUUUGAUACUGGCAACCUAGAGACUGGAAGAGGUUAGUGGAAUUCCCAGUGUAGAGGUGAAAAUUCGUAGAUAUUGGGAAGAACACCAGUGGCGAAGGCGGCUAACUGGUCCAGCACUGACGCUGAGGUGCGAAAGCGUGGGGAGCAAACAGG